UUUAUAUUGCAAAUAAGGGCAGUUUGAUGGGUUUUAUUGCAGAACAACCAUUAAUGAAGUGCAGUUUCAGGCACCUUAAUUGCUCAGGGACCAAAGUUCAGUCCGUAUCUGCAGCACGAGCUGGGAGCUGCCGUGUGUCCCGCGAGGGCCGGGCAGGUUGUGAACGGGACCGGGGAUGGAUUUAUGGGCACGGUGAGGAGGAUGGAGGCAAGGGACCGAACCCACCUGGGGGGGUUAAAGCAGCGUGGGACAAACAGCACGGCCCGGGCUGGAGGGAGGGGAGAGCCCGUGGUGUCCCUGCCAUGGUGUCACCCCAGUGUCACCCCAGCGCCAGCCUGGGGGCCCGCAGUGGGUACUCACCAUGGGAUGCAUUUUGGGAUGUGGGUCCCCAAGCACUUGCGAUGCUGGUGCUGCCCCAGGGCCUGGGCAGGAGCGAUGCAGAGCCAGGGCCGCGGGGGGACCCUGAGAAGCCCCCCAGAACAAAGCACGCGUGGGUGUGCAAGGCACAGAGGGGCGAGCAGGUGGACACAGCACCGGGGGUACAACCACGGGGGAUGCAACCACGCACACUCAGGACACGAUCGCGCCCGCCCCACGCGAGCCCCGGCACCGUCACACCGCGCGUGGACCCGCUCCCCACCUGCACGCACCCACGCCUAGCACAGGCACUGAGAUGUACCGAGCCGUCCCGAGCCGCACGGUGCCAUAGCGGAGCUUACCGGGCCGCACGGAGCCUUACCGGACCUCACCGGGCCGUACCGACCCUCACGGUGCCGUGCCGCGCCCCCGCGCGCGCCCGUUCAUUCACUCGCCCGCGCCGUGGGAACGAGCCGCGCGCGCCGCGGGCGGGAAGCGCAGCCCCGCGCUGGCCCCGCCCCUCCCAGCGCGCAUGAAUGAGCGCGCCCCGCCCAGCUCCAUAUGAGGGCAUCCGGCGUCGCUCUGUGGGAGGAGCCUAGCCGGGCCGCCCCGCCCUUUCGCUCCGCCAAUCAGAGCGGCGCGCCGGGCCCCCCGCCGGGCUCCGGCCUUUGUUUGUGGAGGGCUCCGAGGCCAAUGGGAGCGCGGGACGAGGGUCGCUGGGCCAAUGAGAGCGCGGAACGAGAGGCUCUGGGCCAAUGGGAGCACGGGACGGGGGUCGCUGGGCCAAUGGGCGCGCGGGGGGG
rnacentral:lncRNA from 1 species